rnacentral:tRNA from 1 species
UAGCUUAGUGCUGGAGCACUUGCCUGAUAUGCAGGAAGCCCUGGGUUCAAUUCCUAG